rnacentral:rRNA from 1 species
CAGGAUGAACGCUAGCGGGAGGCUUAACACAUGCAAGUCGAGGGGCAUCACGAGGUAGCAAUACUUUGGUGGCGACCGGCGUACGGGUGAGUAACGCGUAUGCAACCUACCCUGUACUGGGGGACAGCCCGGAGAAAUUCGGAUUAAUACCCCAUAAAGAUAUGAAGAGGCAUCUUUUUAUAUUUAAGGUUUCGACGGUACGGGAUGGGCAUGCGUAACAUUAGCUAGUUGGUAGGGUAACGGCCUACCAAGGCGACGAUGUUUAGGGGUCCUGAGAGGGUGAUCCCCCACACUGGUACUGAGACACGGACCAGACUCCUACGGGAGGCAGCAGUGAGGAAUAUUGGUCAAUGGGCGCAAGCCUGAACCAGCCAUCCCGCGUGCAGGAAGACGGCGCUAUGCGUUGUAAACUGCUUUUCCAGGGGAAGAAAACCCGCUACGAGUAGCGGCUUGCCGGUACCCUGGGAAUAAGCAUCGGCUAACUCCGUGCCAGCAGCCGCGGUAAUACGGAGGAUGCGAGCGUUAUCCGGAUUUAUUGGGUUUAAAGGGUGCGUAGGUGGAUUAUUAAGUCAGUGGUGAAAACCUUCAGCUUAACUGGAGACUUGCCAUUGAUACUGAUAGUCUUGAGUACGGUCAAGGUAGGCGGAAUGUGUAAUGUAGCGGUGAAAUGCUUAGAUAUUACACAGAACACCGAUUGCGAAGGCAGCUUACUGGGCCAUUACUGACGCUGAUGCACGAAAGCGUGGGGAGCGAACAGGAUUAGAUACCCUGGUAGUC